UACAGAGGUCUCAAGCGUUGUUCGGAUUCAUUGGGCGUAAAGGGUGCGUAGGUGGCGCGCUAAGUCAGGUGUGAAAUUUCGGGGCUCAACCCCGAAACUGCAUUUGAUACUGGCGUGCUUGAGGACUGGAGAGGAGACUGGAAUUCACGGUGUAGCAGUGAAAUGCGUAGAUAUCGUGAGGAAGACCAGUGGCGAAGGCGGGUCUCUGGACAGUUCCUGACACUGGAGGCACGAAGGCCAGGGGAGCAAACGGG
rnacentral:rRNA from 1 species